rnacentral:miRNA from 1 species
CAUGUGUGCUUACUUGUAUGUGCAUUGUAUGUGUUGACAUGAUAUACAUAACAUAAACACACGUGUAUAUGCAAGCACACACACACAGGAAAAAAUUGCAUUCAUUUAUACGUUUGAAUGAUA